rnacentral:rRNA from 1 species
AGAGUUUAAUUUAUGGCUCAUGACGAACGCUGGCGGCGUGCCUAAUACAUGCAAGUAGAACGCUGAGGUUUGGUGUUUACACUAGACUGAUGAGUUGCGAACGGGUGAGUAACGCGUAGGUAACCUGCCUCAUAGCGGGGGAUAACUAUUGGAAACGAUAGCUAAUACCGCAUAAGAGUAAUUAACACAUGUUAGUUAUUUAAAAGGAGCAAUUGCUUCACUGUGAGAUGGACCUGCGUUGUAUUAGCUAGUUGGUGAGGUAAAGGCUCACCAAGGCGACGAUACAAAGCCGACCUGAGAGGGUGAUCGGCCACACUGGGACUGAGACACGGCCCAGACUCCUACGGGAGGCAGCAGUAGGGAAUCUUUGGCAAUGGACGGAAGUCUGACCGAGCAACGCCGCGUGAGUGAAGAAGGUUUUCGGAUCGUAAAGCUCUGUUGUUAGAGAAGAACGUUGGUAGGAGUGGAAAAUCUACCAAGUGACGGUAACUAACCAGAAAGGGACGGCUAACUACGUGCCAGCAGCCGCGGUAAUACGUAGGUCCCGAGCGUUGUCCGGAUUUAUUGGGCGUAAAGCGAGCGCAGGCGGUUCUUUAAGUCUGAAGUUAAAGGCAGUGGCUUAACCAUUGUACGCUUUGGAAACUGGAGGACUUGAGUGCAGAAGGGGAGAGUGGAAUUCCAUGUGUAGCGGUGAAAUGCGUAGAUAUAUGGAGGAACACCGGUGGCGAAAGCGGCUCUCUGGUCUGUAACUGACGCUGAGGCUCGAAAGCGUGGGGAGCAAACAGGAUUAGAUACCCUGGUAGUCCACGCCGUAAACGAUGAGUGCUAGGUGUUAGGCCCUUUCCGGGGCUUAGUGCCGCAGCUAACGCAUAAGCACUCCGCC